rnacentral:rRNA from 1 species
UACGUAGGGUGCGAGCGUUGUCCGGAAUUAUUGGGCGUAAAGAGCUUGUAGGCGGUUUGUCGCGUCUGCUGUGAAAAUCCGGGGCUCAACCCCCGGACUUGCAGUGGGUACGGGCAGACUAGAGUGUGGUAGGGGAGACUGGAAUUCCUGGUGUAGCGGUGAAAUGCGCAGAUAUCAGGAGGAACACCGAUGGCGAAGGCAGGUCUCUGGGCCACUACUGACGCUG